rnacentral:rRNA from 1 species
CAGUCGUACCGGCGGAUAAUCAGCCUUUUGGGUGUGAUUUUGUGGAGCGUGAGGAGUUAAACGCCUUCAUGCCUGCAUAUUCGUGCACUUUGGGUGUACUUGCCCGUGUGUAAGUUAACAUCAAUUUUGGUGGUCAUAAAAUGGCUGGAGGAAUGUAGCUUCGAUCUUGUAUUGAAGUGUUACAGCCUUCGGUAGAUGUGACGAUUGGGGAUUGAGGAUUGCAACGGAUACCCUUCGGGGCUACCCGUCUGAUCUCUGAAGGUUGCUCCGGUGCCGAAAGCGUGCUUACGGUCAUCGAAAGUGAUUUUCAAAAGGUUAGAACGGGUUAAAUUCGUUAAGGAUGUUGACGUAAUGG